rnacentral:rRNA from 1 species
GGGGAAUAUUGGACAAUGGGCGCAAGCCUGAUCCAGCAAUGCCGCGUGUGUGAAGAAGGCCUUCGGGUUGUAAAGCACUUUUGUUCGGGAAGAAAUCCGUGUGGUUAAUACCCGUACGGGAUGACGGUACCGAAAGAAUAAGCACCGGCUAACUUCGUGCCAGCAGCCGCGGUAAUACGAAGGGUGCAAGCGUUAAUCGGAAUUACUGGGCGUAAAGCGUGCGUAGGCGGUUUGUUAAGUCAGAUGUGAAAGCCCCGGGCUCAACCUGGGAACUGCAUUUGAUACUGGCAGGCUAGAGUACGGUAGAGGGUGGUGGAAUUCCCGGUGUAGCGGUGAAAUGCGUAGAGAUCGGGAGGAACAUCCGUGGCGAAGGCGGCCACCUGGACCAGUACUGACGCUGAGGCACGAAAGCGUGGGGAGCAAAC